rnacentral:rRNA from 1 species
CCUACGGGAGGCAGCAGUGAGGAAUAUUGGUCAAUGGACGAGAGUCUGAACCAGCCAAGUAGCGUGAAGGAUGACUGCCCUAUGGGUUGUAAACUUCUUUUAUAUGGGAAUAAAACGUUCCACGUGUGGGAUUUUGUAUGUACCAUAUGAAUAAGGAUCGGCUAACUCCGUGCCAGCAGCCGCGGUAAUACGGAGGAUCCGAGCGUUAUCCGGAUUUAUUGGGUUUAAAGGGAGCGUAGGUGGAUUGUUAAGUCAGUUGUGAAAGUCUGCGGCUCAACCGUAAGAUUGCAGUUGAAACUGGCAGUCUUGAGUACAGUAGAGGUGGGCGGAAUUCGUGGUGUAGCGGUGAAAUGCUUAGAUAUCACGAAGAACUCCGAUUGCGAAGGCAGUUCACUGGACUGCAACUGACACUGAGGCACGAAAGUGUGGGUAUCAAACAGGAUUAGAUACCCUGGUAGUC